GGAUGCGAUCAUACCAGCACUAAAGCACCGGAUCGCAUCAGAACUCUGAAGUUAAGCAGUACCAGGAUGGGUGACCUCCUGGGAAGUCCUCGUGUUGCAUCCC
rnacentral:rRNA from 1 species